rnacentral:rRNA from 1 species
AUUGAACGCUGGCGGCAGGCCUAAGACAUGCAAGUCGAGCGAGAAAGCCCCUCGGGGUGAGUACAGCGGCGGACGGGUGAGUAACGCGUAGGAAUCUACCCAGUAGUGGGGGACAACUAGUGGAAACGCUAGCUAAUACCGCAUACGCCCUAAGGGGGAAAGCGGGGGAUCUUCGGACCUCGUGCUAUUGGAUGAGCCUGCGUAAGAUUAGCUUGUUGGUGAGGUAAUGGCUCACCAAGGCUACGAUCUUUAGCUGGUCUGAGAGGAUGAUCAGCCACACCGGGACUGAGACACGGCCCGGACUCCUACGGGAGGCAGCAGUCGGGAAUAUUGCGCAAUGGGGGAAACCCUGACGCAGCCAUGCCGCGUGUGUGAAGAAGGCCCUAGGGUUGUAAAGCACUUUCAAUUGGGAGGAAAAGCUAAUGGUUAAUAGCCAUUAGCCCUGACGUUACCUUUAGAAGAAGCACCGGCUAACUCCGUGCCAGCAGCCGCGGUAAUACGGAGGGUGCAAGCGUUAAUCGGAAUUACUGGGCGUAAAGCGCGCGUAGGCGGCUCUUUAAGUCGGAUGUGAAAGCCCCGGGCUCAACCUGGGAACUGCAUCCGAUACUGGAGGGCUAGAGUGUAGGAGAGGGAGGUAGAAUUCCAUGUGUAGCAGUGAAAUGCGUAGAUAUAUGGAGGAAUACCAGUGGCGAAGGCGGCCUCCUGGCUUAACACUGACGCUGAGGUGCGAAAGCGUGGGGAGCAAACGGGAUUAGAUACCCCGGUAGUCCACGCCGUAAACGAUGUCUACUAGCUGUAGGGGUACUUGAGACCUUUGUAGCGCAGCUAACGCACUAAGUAGACCGCCUGGGGAGUACGGCCGCAAGGUUAAAACUCAAAUGAAUUGACGGGGGCCCGCACAAGCAGUGGAGCAUGUGGUUUAAUUCGAUGCAACGCGAAGAACCUUACCAGGCCUUGACAUCCCCGGAACUUUCUAGAGAUAGAUUGGUGCCUUCGGGAACCGGGUGACAGGUGCUGCAUGGCUGUCGUCAGCUCGUGUCGUGAGAUGUUGGGUUAAGUCCCGUAACGAGCGCAACCCUUGUCCUUAGUUGCCAGCACGUAAUGGUGGGAACUCUAAGGAGACUGCCGGUGACAAACCGGAGGAAGGUGGGGACGACGUCAAGUCAUCAUGGCCCUUACGGCCUGGGCUACACACGUGCUACAAUGGCUAGGACAGACGGCUGCAAACCAGCGAUGGGGAGCUAAUCCGACAAACCUAGUCGUAGUCCGGAUUGGAGUCUGCAACUCGACUCCAUGAAGUCGGAAUUGCUAGUAAUCGCGAAUCAGAAUGUCGCGGUGAAUACGUUCCCGGGCCU